GAAAGAGCAUCACAAAAUUAGUAAUAUUCCAAAGUUGCGUUGCAAAAUGUUGUAAAGUGCGGAUAAUAUAACCUUGCGAAGUUUGUAAUUUUCAGUCAUUUUAGAUUACGCAGAGAAGUGGUAACCAUUUCCCAUUUGUAAUCUAAAAUGACUGAAAAUUGCAAACUUCGCAUGGCUAUAUUAUCCGCAUUUUACAACAUUUCGCAACGAAACUUUGGAAUAUUACUAAUUUUGUGAUGCUCUUUC
rnacentral:miRNA from 1 species